rnacentral:lncRNA from 1 species
GCCUCAGCAACCAACCUCCAGGGAGGGGAAAGGGGGCAGAAGUUUGAGUUAAUAACUAAUAGCUAAAGAUGUAAACAAUAAGCCUCCAUAAAACCCCAAAAGGACUGGACUGGUUUCUGAGAGCUUCCAGGUUGUUGAGCACGUGGAGGUUCUGGGAGGGUCCACACCCAGAGAAGGCAUGGAAGCUGACCCCUUCCCCAUACCUUGCUCUUUGCAUCUCUUCCAUUUGGCUGUUCCCGAGUUGUAUACUUUGUAAUAAGUGGGAUUUCCACCCAACAACAAUUCAGCCACACUGCUUCACACAUCUAGAAUCCAUCCAAAAUUGUAAAGGCUUUGUGGCACUACAGUGAAACAGGCAAGAACAUCUUCCAAACAUCCAGCACAAGAGCACACAGGAGGCCGGCAUAAUCACGAAUUGCAGCUGUCUGAAGGGCAGUCACAUAAAAGAGGAGAAGCUUCACCUUUGCUUCACAAGGCACAUCUUGAACCAGGGAUGGAAAUUACAGAGAGGCCAAAACCAGCUCGGUGUGAGCAGGACUGGUAACAGACUGGCCAAGCAACAGAAGGGGCUGCCCUGUGAAGAAGCAAGCUCUCUGUCAAUGGGAGGUGCAAGCUGAGCCUGCACUACCUUUUGUCACGGUUGCUAUGGAAAAGAUUAAGAGCCCGGGCUGCUUGAGUGUCUGCAUGACAUGGCAGCUGGCUCCCUGAAGAGCACGUGAUCCGAAAGAGAGAGCAAGACAGAAGCGCAGUGUCUUCAACAGCAUAUCUUUGAAAGUCAUAUUCCACCGUUUUCACUACAUUCUAUUGAUAAGAUAGCCCUUCCUCCUCUGGGGGCCUGGGCAUCAGCAAGUCGGAUGGCAGUGGAAGGUGGAGAAAUGGAAUCCUGCUGGGGGCUCAGGAGGCCUGCCCCCUGAUGCUGCCGUGCACUGCAGAUGUCCUUGAUGAAGAGAAUGAAUGGAAGUGCCAGAAAGCCUUUAACAUAUUGGGUCCGGUCUAGAUUUGUAAGGAAGUAUGGCUGAAUUGUUAUCGGGUGGAUACAGUUUACAUGUUUAAAGCUGUCUUUCUCAAUGGCAAAAGGGCAUACUGCUGUUAUUGUCAGUGAGGGGUCAGUAGUUUAAAUGAUGAAACUCUGGGGAUCAGCGUAAAGUAAACCAACAUACUGCAUGUAAGUAUCAAGUAAAUGAGCAGAGACAGCCCCUGGUUUACAAACACCUGACUUAAGCAUCGUCCAUCCUACAGGACAGGGAAGGAGGAAGAAGCUUCGAGAGGCUGGAACAGUUGAGGGAGCGCUGACACGGUAAAGGCCACUUUGCUCAUCAUCACCAGGCGUGCUGCCGAAAAUUUCCACUCUGUUUACUCCCAAGACCUUACUCCUACUAUGUGGAGACACAUUUGAAUAAAAAAUUGGCCUCUUUUCAAAGUCAAAAUUCU